rnacentral:rRNA from 1 species
GAUGAACGCUGGCGGCGUGCCUAAUACAUGCAAGUCGAGCGAACAGACGAGGAGCUUGCUCCUCUGACGUUAGCGGCGGACGGGUGAGUAACACGUGGAUAACCUACCUAUAAGACUGGGAUAACUUCGGGAAACCGGAGCUAAUACCGGAUAAUAUAUUGAACCGCAUGGUUCAAUAGUGAAAGACGGUUUUGCUGUCACUUAUAGAUGGAUCCGCGCCGCAUUAGCUAGUUGGUAAGGUAACAGCUUACCAAGGCGACGAUGCGUAGCCGAACUGAGAGGGUGAUCGGCCACACUGGAACUGAGACACGGUCCAGACUCCUACGGGAGGCAGCAGUAGGGAAUCUUCUGCAAUGGGCGAAAGCCUGACGGAGCAACACCGCGUGAGUGAUGAAGGUCUUCGGAUCGUAAAACUCUGUUAUUAGGGAAGAACAAAUGUGGAAUUAACUAUGCACGUCUUGACGGUACCUAAUCAGAAAGCCACGGCUAACUACGUG